UGAGGCCAGCCCCACGGUGGACUCCUUCCGGCCCGGCUUUGAUGUGGCCCUCCCUUUUCUCCCUGAAGCCCACCCGCUGCGAGGUGGGGCUCCUGGCCAGCUGCGGCAACACAGCCCCCAGCCCGGGGUAGCCCUGCUAGCCCUGGAAGAGGAGAGGGGUGGGUGGCGCACAGCAGACACCGGCUCCUCUGCCUGCCCCUGGGAUGGGCGCUGUGAGCAAGACCCUGGACCUGGGCAGACCCAGCGCCAGGAGACGCUGCCCAAUGCCACCUUCUGCCUCAUCUCUGGCCACCGUCCCGAGGCUGCCUCACGCUUCCUCCAAGCCCUGCAGGUCCUGGCUGCCCUCCAGGAGAUGUCCCCUGCACGGGUCCUCGCCCUGCGUCAGCAGACCCAGUUUCUAUGGGAUGCCUACUUCUCCUCAGUGGAGAAGGUCAUCCAUACCACUCUGGAGGUUAUUCAGGACCGGAUUUUUGGAACAUCAGCUCACCCCUCACUGCUGUGGAACAGCCCCCCAGGGGCACUCCUGGCCCUGUCUACUUUUUCCACAAGCCCCCAGGACUUCCCUUUCUACUACCUGCAACAGGGUAUGCCCUGGGGAUGGGACAACCUGAAGUCCCCUCAGCUCUACCCAGGGCUGCCCCAGCCUCAUCUGGAGAGCCCCACCAAGACCCUUUCCAAGCCCUGACAUUUUUCCUGGCCCCCGGGGAUUCCCUACUCAGGUCAUUCUUCAUGGGGUUCUGUUCCCUCCCACUCUAAUAGCCUGUGUCUCAUUCCCCCAGGCUCCCGCCCUGAGGGCAGAUUCAGCGCCCUGAUCUGGGUGGGGCCCCCAGGCCAGCCCCCUCUGAAGCUCAUCCAGGCGGUGGCAGGCUCCCAGC
rnacentral:sRNA from 1 species